rnacentral:rRNA from 1 species
UACGUAGGAUGCGAGCGUUGUCCGGAAUUAUUGGGCGUAAAGGGCUCGUAGGCGGUUUGUCGCGUCGGGAGUGAAAACUCAGGGCUUAACCCUGAGCCUGCUUCCGAUACGGGCAGACUAGAGGUAUGCAGGGGAGAACGGAAUUCCUGGUGUAGCGGUGAAAUGCGCAGAUAUCAGGAGGAACACCGGUGGCGAAGGCGGGUCUCUGGGAAGUAACUGACGCUGAGAAGCGAAAGCAUGGGUAGCAAACAGG